AAAAUGUUCAUACCUUCGAAAGUCUAAAAUUAUUCUAUGGGGAUUGUGCAGGAGUAAUAGGUGAUUAUACUUUGCCAGGUAUCAUUGAUAAGUUGGCGACAUCCUCAAAUUUUGUCCGAAGAACUGAAAUGAUAGAACAAUAUAACCAGCUAAAUAUGUGGAAGAAAAGGGGAAUUUCUCGAGUGCCACUAGUUUAUGAAGCUAUGCAACGACCAACGCCUGGAAAAGUAAGCAUUCUUUCGGAUGGAUCAGUAGUUGUAGAGGUUGGAGGUAUUGAAAUCGGCCAAGGUCUAUGGACAAAGGUCAAACAAAUGACUGCCUAUGGUCUUAGCUUAAUUGAAAGUAGUUGGAGUGAAGAACUUGUGGAGAAAGUACGCG
rnacentral:misc_RNA from 1 species